UACGAAGGGGGCUAGCGUUGCUCGGAUUUACUGGGCGUAAAGCGCGUGUAGGCGGCUUGGCAAGUCGGAUGUGAAAGCCCACGGCUCAACCGUGGAAGCGCAUCCGAAACUGCUUCGCUCGAGUCUCGGAGAGGAAGGUGGAAUGCUUGGUGUAGAGGUGAAAUUCGUAGAUAUCAAGCAGAACACCUGCGGCGAAGGCGGCCUUCUGGACGAUGACUGACGCUGAGACGCGAAAGCGUGGGGAGCAAACAGG
rnacentral:rRNA from 1 species